GUAGCUCAGCUGGUAGAGCGUGCGCUGUGCAAAAGCGUAGGCGGCCCUCAUGCGUGGGUUAAAAUCCCACC
rnacentral:tRNA from 1 species